UAAGACGAGCCUCACAAACGUUAUUCGGAAUUACUGGGCUUAAAGGGUGCGUAGGCGGCGCGGAAAGUUGGGUGUGAAAUCCCUCGGCUCAACCGAGGAACUGCGCCCAAAACUACCGUGCUCGAGGAAGAUAGAGGUGAGCGGAACUCACGGUGGAGCGGUGAAAUGCGUUGAUAUCGUGAGGAACACCCGUGGCGAAAGCGGCUCACUGGGUCUUUUCUGACGCUGAUGCACGAAAGCUAGGGGAGCAAACGGGAUUAGAUACCCCGGUAGUCCUAGCCGUAAACUAUGAGUACUGAAUUGGAGGGCCCUCCAUAGCCCUCCAGUUGUAGCGAAAGUGUUAAGUACUCCGCCUGGGGAGUAUGGUCGCAAGGCUG
rnacentral:rRNA from 1 species